AUGAACGCUGGCGGCGUGCCUAAUACAUGCAAGUCGAGCGAACAGACGAGGAGCUUGCUCCUCUGACGUUAGCGGCGGACGGGUGAGUAACACGUGGAUAACCUACCUAUAAGACUGGGAUAACUUCGGGAAACCGGAGCUAAUACCGGAUAAUAUAUUGAACCGCAUGGUUCAACAGUGAAAGACGGUUUUGCUGUCACUUAUAGAUGGAUCCGCGCCGCAUUAGCUAGUUGGUAAGGUAACGGCUUACCAAGGCAACGAUGCGUAGCCGACCUGAGAGGGUGAUCGGCCACACUGGAACUGAGACACGGUCCAGACUCCUACGGGAGGCAGCAGUAGGGAAUCUUCCGCAAUGGGCGAAAGCUUGACGGAGCAACGCCGCGUGAGUGAUGAAGGUCUUCGGAUCGUAAAACUCUGUUAUUAGGGAAGAACAAAUGUGUAAGUAACUAUGCACGUCUUGACGGUACCUAAUCAGAAAGCCACGGCUAACUACGUG
rnacentral:rRNA from 1 species